GCCUCCCUCUUUCUUCGUGCUUAACACAUGCAAGUCGAACGGAAAGGCCCUGCUUUUGGGGGGUGCUCGAGUGGCGAACGGGUGAGUAACACGUGAGUAACCUGCCCUUGACUUUGGGAUAACUUCAGGAAACUGGGGCUAAUACCGGAUAGGAGCUCCUGCUGCAUGGUGGGGGUUGGAAAGUUUCGGCGGUUGGGGAUGGACUCGCGGCUUAUCAGCUUGUUGGUGGGGUAGUGGCCUACCAAGGCUUUGACGGGUAGCCGGCCUGAGAGGGUGACCGGCCACAUUGGGACUGAGGUACGGCCCAGACUCCUACGGGAGGCAGCAGUGGGGAAUAUUGCACAAUGGGCGGAAGCCUGAUGCAGCAACGCCGCGUGCGGGAUGACGGCCUUCGGGUUGUAAACCGCUUUCGCCUGUGACGAAGCGUGAGUGACGGUAAUGGGUAAAGAAGCACCGGCUAACUACGUG
rnacentral:rRNA from 1 species